rnacentral:rRNA from 1 species
CAUCCUCCAAGGCUAAAUACUCCUGACUGACCGAUAGUGAACCAGUACCGUGAGGGAAAGGCGAAAAGAACCCCGGCGAGGGGAGUGAAAAAGAACCUGAAACCGUGUACGUACAAGCAGUGGGAGCACAGGUUUACCUGUGUGACUGCGUACCUUUUGUAUAAUGGGUCAGCGACUUAUAUUCUGUAGCAAGGUUAACCGUAUAGGGGAGCCGGAGGGAAACUGAGUCUUAACCGGGCGUUAAGUUGCAGGGUAUAGACCCGAAACCCGGUGAUCUAGCCAUGGGCAGGUUGAAGGUUGGGUAACACUAACUGGAGGACCGAACCGACUAAUGUUGAAAAAUUAGCGGAUGACCUGUGGCU